AUGCCAAAGGACAGCUUGUACCUACCGUCCACGGCAAAAGGGCUCCGAAAGCACCCGGCGCGCUGCCUCCGAGCUGCAGCUCGGCUUCUCCUUCGCACCAGAAGCGUCGCAUACGCAAACCCUCAGCAGAGCAGCGAGAAACUCUCCAGCCCUCGGUUUGAGAAGCGAGUACGACCUCGCGUCCGCGCCGAGAGCCUUCCACGAGCGCUGCAGCGGAGGCUCGACCCCGCUUCGGCACGGCGACGCGGGGGGCCGGCCCAGUGGGGCCCCCUGCUCUCUGCAGGGCUGCUGCCCCAGGGCGAGGGCGGCACUGGGACGGGUCCGCGGUCGCACGGCGCCGGGACGGGGCCGAGGUUUGCACAGGGACACGCGGGAGCCCCGCUGGCACGCACCACCUCCGGGUGGGAGCAACCACUCACGGCAAGCCCAGGAAACGACUCGGACCGAAAUAAUUCGGCAGCAAGGCACAGGGACAUGAGGCACCAGGCUGAGGGGUCCUUCCCCCUCCAAGGGGGACAGCCAAGCCCGGGGCCGAGCCCGGCCCCACGGCACCGGCGCAGCGAGCAGCAUCCCUGCGCCGCGCAUCGCUCUCGGUGGCACGGUGCAUUUGCAAACCGCAGCCUCAACCUGCCCCGUCCACCGCCGCCGCUGCUCUGCGGCUUGUCGAAGCUCCCUCGGGGCGGGGGGAGGUUUUUAGCCACCCCCUUCCCCCAAGCGGAGCCUGGGGCCGCGGCUYGCCACGAGCGCGAGCGGCCUUUGUCCGCGGGUGAGGAGCGCGGCGAGCCCCCGCGGCCGGUGAUUUACGGGCAGGCGGCAGCACAAAGGGGACGCGCCGCCUGCCGGGAGUGGGCGAAGGGCUGGCGCCCACCCGGGGGGGACACGCAGCCCUGCCGGGACCCCCAGCGCCGCUGCACGGAGGCGCCGAUUGCCGUCGCAUCGGGCGUGCGGGGACGGAGCGGGCGAGGAGCCRAUGGGACGGCGGGCACUGGCCUCGCUGCGCCCACCGGAGCCGCGUUCCUGCCGUCUCGCCGGAGCGACGCAACAGCCGGGAUGCUCCGCGAAUGGGGAUGUGAAAACGCGUUUUGCCCUGCACCCUCCAGCAAAUCCUGCCUCGCUGCUGGGGGGAGGACACCGCAAAAAGAAACAGGAAAUAUUUUAUUGCACCUGUGCUGCAACGAUUAUUUAACUGCUAGGUUUUGCAGGGUAACAGAUCGCUCUGUUUUUAUAUUGGUUAUUAACAACUAUGUUUGGAAUUGCCCAAGAGCCCAGGUCGCAGGGUAA
rnacentral:lncRNA from 1 species